UACGUAGGUGGCAAGCGUUAUCCGGAUUUAUUGGGCGUAAAGAGAACGCAGGCGGUCUUUUAAGUCUGAUGUGAAAGCCUUCGGCUUAACCGGAGUAGUGCAUUGGAAACUGGGAGACUUGAAUGCAGAAGAGGAGAGUGGAACUCCAUGUGUAGCGGUGAAAUGCGUAGAUAUAUGGAAGAACACCAGUGGCGAAAGCGGCUCUCUGGUCUGUAACUGACGCUGAGGUUCGAAAGCGUGGGUAGCAAACAGG
rnacentral:rRNA from 1 species